rnacentral:rRNA from 2 species
AGCGGCGGACGGGUGAGUAACACGUGGGUAACCUGCCUGUAAGACUGGGAUAACUCCGGGAAACCGGGGCUAAUACCGGAUAACACCUACCCCCGCAUGGGGGAAGGUUGAAAGGUGGCUUCGGCUAUCACUUACAGAUGGACCCGCGGCGCAUUAGCUAGUUGGUGAGGUAAUGGCUCACCAAGGCGACGAUGCGUAGCCGACCUGAGAGGGUGAUCGGCCACACUGGGCCUGAGACACGGCCCAGACUCCUACGGGAGGCAGCAGUAGGGAAUCUUCCGCAAUGGACGAAAGUCUGACGGAGCAACGCCGCGUGAGUGAAGAAGGUUUUCGGAUCGUAAAACUCUGUUGUUAGGGAAGAACAAGUGCCGUUCGAAUAGGGCGGCGCCUUGACGGUACCUAACCAGAAAGCCACGGCUAACUACGUGCCAGCAGCCGCGGUAAUACGUAGGUGGCAAGCGUUGUCCGGAAUUAUUGGGCGUAAAGCGCGCGCAGGUGGUUUCUUAAGUCUGAUGUGAAAGCCCACGGCUCAACCGUGGAGGGUCAUUGGAAACUGGGGAACUUGAGUGCAGAAGAGGAAAGUGGAAUUCCAAGUGUAGCGGUGAAAUGCGUAGAUAUUUGGAGGAACACCAGUGGCGAAAGCGACUUUCUGGUCUGUAACUGACACUGAGCGCGAAAGCGUGGGGAGCAACAGGAUUAGAUACCCUGGGUAGUCCACGACGUAACGAUGAGUGCUGAGGUGUUAUAAGGGUUUCUGCCCUUUAUGCUGCAGCUACGCAAUAAGCACUCCCCUGCGGAGUACUAGUCGCCAGACUGAACAUCGAACGAGUGACGGGAGGCCGCGCAUCGUGAAGCAUGUAGGUUUACUCCUAGCGAGCGCGUAGAGCAUACAGUCCUGACAUGCUCUGGACACCAUACAAUACGGCUUGCCGUCCUGUACUGGACUGACAGUGAUGGAUGUGACGUC